UUCCUCCUAGAUUAGGAGGUAAGGCCUGCUCACUGAGUAUUUAAAGAGCCGCAGUAUCCUAACUGUGCUAAGGUAGCAUAAUCAUUAGUCUUUUAAUUGGAGACUGGUAUGAAUGGCUUAACGAGAAAUUGACUUUUUUUGUUAUAAAAAUCAAAUUUAAUUUUUUAGUGAAAAAGCUAAAAUUUUUCAGAAAGACGAGAAGACCCUAUAGAGUUUUAUGUUUAAAAAUAUUUUUUCUAAUUUGAUUUUUAUGGAUCAAAUAUUAAAGAACAUUUUGUUGGGGCGACAUUUAGAUAUAAAAAACUCUUUAUUUUUAAAAUUUUUAUAAAAAGAAAGCUUGAUCCUCUAGAAGAGAUCAAAAGAAAAAAUUACCUUAGGGAUAACAGCGUAAUCUUUUUUGAGAGUUCUAAUCGACAAAAAGGUUUGCGACCUCGAUGUUGGACUAAAAUUUAGGCAGGGUGCAGCAGUUCUGCUUUAAGGUCUGUUCGACCUAUAAUAUUUUACACGAUCUGAGUUCAGACCG
rnacentral:rRNA from 1 species